AUCGCUUCUCGGCCUUUUGGCUAAAAUCAAGUGUAAAACUUAGAAAUCCACUUUACUCCAUUUAUAAGAAUUCUGAUUCUGAAGUUUACUUUUCAGAAUUAAUUUAUAUAACCACACUGAGCAGUGAUUUAUAUUCUCACCACU
ensembl:snRNA U2 U2 spliceosomal RNA